AUUGAACGCUGGCGGAAUGCUUUACACAUGCAAGUCGAACGGCAGCACGGGGCAACCUGGUGGCGAGUGGCGAACGGGUGAGUAAUGCAUCGGAACGUACCUCUCAGUGGGGGAUAACGUAGCGAAAGUUACGCUAAUACCGCAUAUUCUGUGAGCAGGAAAGCAGGGGAUCGCAAGACCUUGCGCUGAUUGAGCGGCCGAUGUCAGAUUAGCUAGUUGGUGAGGUAAAGGCUCACCAAGGCGACGAUCUGUAGCGGGUCUGAGAGGAUGAUCCGCCACACUGGAACUGAGACACGGUCCAGACUCCUACGGGAGGCAGCAGUGGGGAAUUUUGGACAAUGGGGGCAACCCUGAUCCAGCCAUGCCGCGUGAGUGAAGAAGGCCUUCGGGUUGUAAAGCUCUUUCGGCCGGGAAGAAAUCGCACGGGCUAAUACCCUGUGUGGAUGACGGUACCGGAAUAAGAAGCACCGGCUAACUACGUGCCAGCCGCCGCCGUAAUAC
rnacentral:rRNA from 1 species